AUACCAGUUUUAAACAGAAGACAAGAAAGGCUGAUUGCUGGAGUGUUAAGUGAAAGAAAUCUUUUAAAACAACAAAGGACAGAGAAAGAGAAGUCACUUAAGGAGAUUCUUCAGCCAAGAAAGUUUUUUUAAAAUAAGAUUAAAUUUUGAAAUUAAGUGGCCCACUAACUACCAUCUGGAAGACUUUAUCACAAAAUUUCUUCAGCUUCUGCUAGUAGGAGAUUGUCUACAUUCCCCCAUAAUGCAGGGCCAGCAAAUAAUAGGAUUUUCUUACAGCUAACCUUGGUCUUUCCAAAGGGAGAAAGUAAUGCCUAAAUAUUUCUCCCCAUUUAGUCCAAAAUAUUUUUGAAGUUGUGUUGAGUAUUUAACAACAGUAAAGACUGCUGAGUAGGUUUUAGGCAACAUGACCUGGGAUCCAUAGUUCUUAUUUCCACUGUUUAGAAAGGUACUUGACCUUCACUGUUCUGUAUUAAGCACUAUAGUCUGUGUAACAUUAAUCUGAUGAAUUUAAUAGCAUCCAGUUUUGUAUUUUAUUAUAGUCAUGGUCUUUUUAAAGGUAGCAGUGCCUUCAGUUGUGCUUAGAAAGUGUGUGCCUUAAAUCUCCCUUUCUAGAGCCAAAGUUUGGGGAACUGUGUCGUUAAGUUGUAUGUGACAGUCUUGUGACCGCUUGCUUUUGAGUGAAAGGAGAAUGACUGUGAUCCUGAAGGGCUUCUUCCCCUAAAACCCAGGCCUAAUGCCUAUGAGUUUAGGGCUUCUGGAGAUGGAAUCCUAAUCAGGCAUACUAUCACAGAAGGAUUAGGGUCCCUGAAAUAAAAUCAGUGAAAAAGUAUAUUCUCUUUUCAUAUUACUUUAUAAAGAAAAUACAUCUGCUACCAGUUCCUAGCCAAUGCAUAUUAAUAGCAUCAUAUAAAGAUAUUAAUAGCAUCAUAUAAAGAUAUUAUUAGUGUAUUUUUUGCUUUAUUUGUUAUACCAGGUUAAAGGAGGAGUAUGUUUUAAUAUUUUUACAUGUAGAUAUCUGUGUUCUUUUUCUGUCUCUUGGUUCAUAUUUGCUAAGAAUUGAUGUAGAAAAUAACAGUUGACUAACAACAAACAUGACACAUUAUCAAACAUUCACAGGGUAAUAUUGAUUUGGGUGCUACUAGACUUUUAACUAGAACUUGUUUAUCAGUCUCAGUUUAUUGUAAGAGACAGUAUUCAAUCUACUUAAUAUUAAAUUUGUUAGUAUAAUGAAGGUUAUAUACCAUUAUACCAGAAAGCCAUGGUUGGAGAGACUAUCUGCAUUUACCAGAAGUUACUUUCUUCCUUUGGCUGUGAAUAAACUGGGUAAAACUAUUGUAUUUUCAAUUCCAGUUACAGGAAGAAGCCGGGGAUAAGAUUGACAUCACUAUUGCUGGUUCAACAGAAACAUUACUAAAUUGAUUAGUUCUGUCUGCAACUAGUGUUUGAAGAGAAUUCUUUCACUAACUUAAAUGAUUGGCAUUGAUAUGUUAUUGAAAAGGAGUAUUAACCUCAACAAUCACUUUACAACAGUCAUGGAAAGACUUUUGUGUCUGUAAUUGGUAUCUGUUGCAUUUCUGAGCCCACUUUGUAUUCCUGAGAAACAAAAAUAUAAUGGGAAGAAUAUUUUAUAUAACCAGUAUUUUAACUUUUUAUAAAGUUUGAGAUUUUAAAGUAUCAACAAAGGAUAUUGAAAAUAAAUGUACUUUUACUUUAAAUUACAUCUUAUCAUCUGAGUUCUUAAUUUUCUGUAUUUGAAAUCUUGUGAAUUAAUAUAUCUAUAGGUAUAUAGAUGUUUAAAACAGUAGUAACAGUGUAACCAAUGUGACUCAGUAAUUAUAUUUUAUUUUCAAAACAAGUUACAGUUUAUUGUAUCAGAUUUAUAUAUUACCUGUAAUGGUAAAUGCUUUAAUCAGAAUAUUUAAGCUAAUUCAAUUCUGUACCUCCUUUCCCCUCACCCAGGACACACAAAAGAAUGUGAUCUAACAUUAACCCUCUGUGUGAAUUUUGCCUUAUCAAACAUUGUGCCUUAUUUUGUUAAAAGUGUUUUGUUGGAAUCUAACUCUGUAUUCUGGAAAAGUAAAAGUCUUUUAAUUGACAAGCAUUUACUUAAAAAUCUUAUACUGUUGGUUUUUGCCUGA
rnacentral:lncRNA from 1 species